rnacentral:lncRNA from 1 species
UGCCUAAUAACCCCCUCCCCCUCCCGUUCGCUUUGGCUCCUGGGGGCAGAGUGUCUGGGAAACGGGGCGGCAUCCCAGGCGCUUUGGGUUUGAAAAGACCAUUUUUAGGUUUCUGGGUGCCGCCUGGCCGGCUUUGGCCGCUCUCCGUGGCCGUGUGGGUCGCUGGGCAGCCCGGGCGGGCCAGAAGAGGGUCUCUGGGCCUUGGGGGGCUCCGAGCGCGCCUAAAUCUCACGGAGAGCCUUGGCGGAGGCAGCCUUUGGGGCUCCCUCGCCCGCGAAGCCAAGGGUCGGCUUGUGGAGUCCGCGGCGUGCUCUGCAGCGCCAGGCGAGGCUCGUUUGGGAAGGGGCUGGAUGGUGGAGAAGCUCGCGCCGGCCCUCACUCGGAGGCCGUUCCACCAGGUGCCCGCCGGGCAGAGCCGGCAGGCGAAGAUGCGGGUGGGAGCCCCGAGGGGGCCAGGGUGAAGCCGGGCUUCCCUCUGCGCUCUGGGCCCAGGCGUGGGACAGGCUGUCUCAGGGCGCCCGUGGAAGGCUCCCCUCUAAAAGCUGGGCCGGGAAGCCUUUCCAGAGUCUGUCCAGAGCCUCGGAGGUUUGCCCCGGGGAGCCCCGUAAGACAGGGACACCCUGCCCUGGUGCUCGGAGGACCGGGGUGCCCAGAGCUGGGCCGGGGGCCUCAGAGGCUACCGGAUGCGACUCCCUCUCUGUACAGCGAUGGGCUCGAGGCCUGGCCGAGGGAAGAGGCCAGGCACGGACCCAGCGCCGGAAAGGCCUGCCGAGGAGGCCGAGCGCUGGGACACGGAGGGCCCCGAGGCCGUCAGGGCGCAGCCGGAGGCCUUCGUUUCAUGCUCGGGUUUCGGUGCUGGACCUGCCUGACACGCUGGUCGGGGCGCCCCCCAGGAAGGUGUCCGGCUGCCUCUGCGGCCCCUCCAGGCCUCACCAUUCAGAGCUGAGCCCCGGCCGAGGCCGCGUCCCGGGGACCCCGGAUAAGGUGGAAGCAUCCCACAGGCGGCUUCCCUGCCUGGCUCCCACCCGCAGAGAAAGAGGAAGAAGGCGCGUUAGCGAGGGGCGGGCGGAGAGCGAAAGGCUGGCCUCCGGGAGGAGCAGCUCAGCCAGUGGAGUCAGGAAGCCCGUNNNNNNNNNNN